rfam:Trichobilharzia regenti genome assembly, scaffold: TRE_scaffold0021820
AUCCAGACGACAAGUCCCAAAUAGGACGAAAUGCGCGUCAUCCUGGAU